rnacentral:rRNA from 1 species
CAGUAGGGAAUCUUCCACAAUGGGCGAAAGGCCUGAUGGAGCAACGCCGCGUGUGUGAUGAAGGGUUCCGGCUCGUAAAACACUGUUGUAAGAGAAGAAUGACAUUGAGAGUAACUGUUCAAUGUGUGACGGUAUCUUACCAGAAAGGAACGGCUAAAUACGUGCCAG